rnacentral:rRNA from 1 species
GAUGAACGCUGGCGGCGUGCCUAAUACAUGCAAGUCGAACGCACAGCGAAAGGUGCUUGCACCUUUCAAGUGAGUGGCGAACGGGUGAGUAACACGUGGACAACCUGCCUCAAGGCUGGGGAUAACAUUUGGAAACAGAUGCUAAUACCGAAUAAAACUCAGUGUCGCAUGACACAAAGUUAAAAGGCGCUUUGGCGUCACCUAGAGAUGGAUCCGCGGUGCAUUAGUUAGUUGGUGGGGUAAAGGCCUACCAAGACAAUGAUGCAUAGCCGAGUUGACAGACGGAACGGCCACAUUGGGACUGAGACACGGCCCAAACUCCUACGGGAGGCUGCAGUAGGGAAUCUUCCACAAUGGGCGAAAGCCUGAUGGAGCAACGCCGCGUGUGUGAUGAAGGCUUUCGGGUCGUAAAGCACUGUUGUAUGGGAAGAACAGCUAGAAUAGGGAAUGAUUUUAGUUUGACGGUACCAUACCAGAAAGGGACGGCUAAAUACGUGCCAGCAGCCGCCGUAA